GCACCCGCAGUCCCACACCAGGGCUGAGUCACGGCCCUUUCCCCACCGGGUUUCUUAAUGAGGCACAGCGUACGCUAGGAGAGCUGCAGCGUCGAGGCCCUGUGGAUAUUGUCCACCACUGUGGCAGAGAAACAUUAGCGACUCAUCUGCAUGUAGCUUCUCUUUACAACCCAGGUUUAUCUGAACAAUAUGCAUGUGUGCAUGAGUCUAAACUGAUAUUGUUUGGAGAUGACCUACGCAAGAUCAGCCAAGAAAUUCGGCUGGUGGCAUUUUCUUCUUGCCAGCAAAUCCCACAUAAGAACUUAUGCGAUAAUUAAUCACAAAUGAUUAAUUAUCUCUGUUUUCUGUUAGAUAAUUUUCUGAUUUUGAACCAAAUUCACAAGAAGGCGCCAGAGUGUAUGCGGAGAGAUGCACCGGGGCCAUAAUAAAAGAAGAUGAAAUGGGAAUCCGAAUCACUUUAUUGUCAUUUCCAGUAAACAAGUUCGCAGGCCAGGAAAUUGCUUUGAGGUAACAAUGCAAAAAUAAAUAAAUAAUAAAAUUAUAUAUGAGCAUGAAAAAGAAAAAAAUAGAAGAAAAAAAAAAAAGAUUUUU